UUUUGUUUUUGUUUUUGCAUUUGUGUUUGUCAAGAAAAGUAGAAAGGCUGAUGCUUCUUGCCUGUUUUUCCAACUCUUUUAAUGCUAUAAAAUGCACCCCAAAUUUAACCCAUUCUCUCUCCUAGGAUUUGAUAUACCCAGUUUACUCCCUUGAAGGUCCUCUAUCUCAUCAAAGCUUUAGAUUUUAAAAGCAUGAUUGUAUAUUUUUAUUUUCAAAAAGAUUUUGAUUUUGGAGAUAUUUUAAAAUUGGAAAUUGAACUCAGAUAGGCUUUACCAUUUGUCUGUUUUCUUAGAAGAAUAAAUGCUAUUUGCAAUAUAAGAGUUAGCUGCCAGAAACCUAAGAAAGUUAUGUUCAAAUUAUUUUUACAAAUAGAUGUUCACAUCACCUUUAAACAGUAGUAAUGGCUCAGAAAAAAUCAAGCAAAGUUAACAUCUUUAAAAAAAUACAAACCACAUUGCUUUACAGGAUGAGGUUGUGCUUAAUAACGUAUGCUUAAUUCAUUCAGAAACUACACGAUUUUUGUUGCUAUAUUUUGUUAGAAAGGAAGGAGAGACUGUUUCUACAGGUGUCAUACAAAAAUCAAUACUGAGCCAAGGAUUAUUGGAUCCCAUAGAACCACGGAGACUUGGUAGUGAAAUUCUUCCAAAGCAUUCCAUCCGUGCAGGCAGAUGGUGUUCCUAGGUUUGGAAAUAUAAAUCCCAUGGGAAGUCAGCUGAAGACCAUUUUAUGCAUCACUCAUCCUGUUAGAGCCCUGUGCUGUUCUGUCUCUCUAUAAGACUGGCUGAAACCACCACGGUUGUUUACAAUUUAUGCUCUAACUUUGGAUCACCUAGUUAAUACUCUAACUCCGAUUAUUACCAAAGACAAUGUUCUAUAAAAGAUAUUGUCUAUUAGAAGGAUGCUUCUGCAUUAUUAAUAAAAUCACAGGGAAAAUGCAACAUUUUGGAUGUCACAUCUGAUAAGUUGGCAGUUAAAGAACAGAAACAGCAAUAAGACUGCGUGGCUACAUUUUCCCAGUGCCACCAACUGGGAUUUAAGCUGACUAACAUUUUGAAAGCCCAGCCCAUUUCAUUCACAGCAGGAUGGCAGUGGGUGACUGAUCGUACCCGCCAGCUGGCUAAUGUCAUAAUUAACAAAGUUGCUACUACAUCUGCAAAGUUUAAUCGAAAAAUUUGCCAGUGAUAUGAUGGCCUUGUCACAGAGAUCACAAGGGACACGGAGUUGACUUUUGCUCAAGGUGGAACGACAGAGCUGUGUAGGCAAGAUGAGAAAUUGCGAACUUGUUCGGCCAAAGCAGCAAGACAAGACAAGUAAUAUUGCAUUCAUUUUCUAUAAAGUACACGGAGAUGUUAAGUGAUUUACCUGGUAUUACUUCAGUGAAAACAGGAAAGAUGAAGGAACGACUAUGCUCUGGAGAGUCCUGUAAUUUGCAGAAAAUGGACCAAGAUAACAUUUGAGUUCCAUGCUACCAAAAUCCUCUUGAGAAGGACAGCUAGCUACCCAGAAUAUUUAACAUUGUGACAUUGAAAUGUUGGAUGAACGAUUAAAAUGAAGAAUCUAGUCAUAGGUUGUAAGAAAUCGCUAAAUUAUUAUGUUUAAUCCAAAGAAGAGAAAGGAAAA
ensembl:lncRNA RMST rhabdomyosarcoma 2 associated transcript